rnacentral:sRNA from 1 species
UGCCAUAUUGGAAGACACAUCUGAUUCGACAUAUCCUUGAUGUGAUGCAU